CCAUGACAUUAACACAAAAGUUAGUAACUCCGGAAAAGGCGAUAGAUCAUCACUAAGGUUGUAAGAUUCCUUGGAGUCUACGUACUACUAAAUACGUAGAAUCCAAGGAAUCUGCUUAUGAACACAGAAGUUAAGUGAAUAACUUACUCAAAGCUUGAGUAACCCUCCUUCUAUCUGGACUCAAAAAUUUAGUAGGUCUCACAACCUUAGCCGGGCCACAGGUAUAACCAGGACCUGGUCCUAGCAGGGUGAAGUUCUUUGGUACCCUAACAGUUUUGUUAGUGGUACCAGCAGCUCCUACACUAACUUGAAAAGAGGAAACUGCACCAGCCGGGUCCUGAGCCCAAGCGUUAAGCACUCCGCCUUUGCAGCAGUUGGCGAUCUGCUGGUUGUAAGGAGUGCCGGGCAAUAAGUCGACAACAGUUGGAGUUUUCUUGCAGCAAUGAGGUACAUUCCCUUUAUAUUUGGAACAAUCUCCUUGUUCAGUAGUUUGGCUUCCCAUCAUAUUCCAAAUCACUUCCUUUUUAGCCCAUGUCCACCCCAUUGUCCACCCUGGUGCUUGAAUAUGGCGAUACUGCUGGAAGUUGUACAUGGUAACAACAGCCUGCCAAGGAUAAAGAUAAAACCCUUUGAUCAAAUUACUAACUUUUUGGUUCAUUAAAGUUCCCAUCUUUGUGUAAUUUGCCAAAUUAAUUAUUAACUCAAUCCAAUUAGGAGGAACUUACUACAAGCAGCAUAUUGUAAUUAAAUAGAAAUGAAAAAAAAAACAGAAGACAAAAGGAAAUGGAUGGUUAAAUACUUACAACAUAACCAUCUGGAGUCCAGCUUAUGAUGUCCCAUUUGAUGGUGAUGUUCCCAUUAGGGUCCAAAGCAUCAUAAGCUUCUGCAUACAGCAAAUUCGUGAACAACUUAAGCUUCCCAGGUUAGCAAGAUAUCUACUUUAGAACAAGUAGGGCAAAAGCCAUUUUUAACACUGAAACAAGCAACCAUAAGACACCAAUAAAACCGGAUAAGGUGAAACUGCUCUCUGAAGAAGCAAACCAACUCUCAAGAUGUAAAAUAUAUCGACUUUAAUCACCAAAACCCGGAUUCCCAUUUCCAAAAAGACACUUCUCACCAACUUCAGUUCCUUAGAAAAAAGAAAAGAGAGUAGAAGAAGCCACCUGUGGAAGUGAAAGUGGAUGAAGAAAGCAAGAAGAAGAGCAGGAUUGCUGGAGUGCAGAGCUUGGCUAGGUAACUGGAAAACGAAGAGGAAUCCAUUAAUUUCUAUGGUAAAUGUGAAGCUAGAGGGAGCUGAUUGGGUUUUGAGGAUUUGAGCUCAGCUCAGUACAGAGAUGGAGAAGGGGAGAAGAGUCCAGAGACAGGUGUGGCUGUGAGAAAUGUGACUUUUUCUUCACGUGGGGUGAAGAAAGAAAGAAAGCUUAAGGCUUACAACAUUUACCAAAAAGUAGCACUUCAAUAUAUUUUUUGAUAGAAGCACUUCAAUAUAUAAUUAACCAACUCUGGAGAUAGAUAGUGGCUUUCAGCUGGCUGGCUCAUUGAGUUGCAGUUGAUGAUGGGAACUUUGGUCGUUAUAAUUACAAGUUUAUCCUUUGGUUUUUGUACAUAGUGGAUCUUGCUGUCAGACCAAAGGGAAUUAUGUUGCUUCAUAUGGCAUUUGAUCUACUCAAUUGGUUGCUACUUGCUAGCUCUGGGUUUUUCAUUCACCAUUACCAAAAUCGGGAUUUCCUAUUAACCAACUCUUGAGUUAGUUAGUUGGAUAACUCAACUCAGAGUUGAAUAGUUGAUUGAUGAUGUGGAUUUUGGUUGACCACUUGACCCGCGUUUCACGGUGGUUGCACAAGGUCACCCUUCUCGUAGUAUUUUUUGUCUUUGCUUAUUGAUUAAGGUCCCAUCUUGCUGUCAUUCUGUAGACCAAUAAGUCAAGUUGGAAAAUAUCUCCAGCUGACUGUCAUUUUUUGUUUUUGUGCACGACAGUUGCACUUGUGUUCUUUUAAAUCUUUAGACCAUCUCUGAAGUGACAAAAACAAUUAAGGGUGAUGCCAUGCAAUUUUUAACCAUUCUACUUUGCUUCAAUCGUAUACUAACAUAAAUCGAAUAAUAUAUCUUUAUAAAACUUUCUUAAUGCAAUCUAUUUUUGUUUCAUAUAGCUUGUUUUUACUUAACGUUUUUAUUUUACGUAAUCUAUUUUUACUUUACUCAUUUUAUUUUUAUUUAGUAUAGUCUGUUUUACUUCACGCAAUCCAAUUUAUUUUAUAAACUCUUAUUUUACUUAACACAAUCCAUUUUUAAUCGACAUGCAUGUAAGCCAUUGCAGGAAAGAAACAUCAAUGUUUAAGAACAUUUGGAUACUAUCCAGUAAGUUAUAUAGUAUACCAGUGAAUAGAGAAGUCUUUAUUUCUCCUCAAUCAUACACGAUGGGUAAACAAUUAAAACAUCAUUUAUUUUAUUAAUGGCAACAAGAACCUUACAUUACACGUCUGUAAUAAUAAAAAUGUUCCAACAAGUUCAGUUUUUCCAGCUCUCUCGAGUAGUCUCACUCAGCCACUACAAUGCUUUUGAGUAUCUGCAGGUAACAUUCCAGGUCACUGCCAUGACAUUAACACAAACAGUUAGCAACUCCAGAAAAGUAUGAGACCAUUAAAAGUACUUAAGCUUAUUAAGAGACAGAAAGUAAAGUGAAUAUAUAACUUACUCAUAGCUUGAGUAACCCUCCUUCUAUCUGCACUCAAAAAUUUAGUAGGCCUCACAAUCUUUGUCGGGCCACAGGUAUAACCAGGACCUGGUGCUAGCAGGGUGAAGUUCCUGGGUACCUUAACAG
rnacentral:lncRNA from 1 species